rnacentral:rRNA from 1 species
GACGAACGCUGGCGGCGUGCUUAACACAUGCAAGUCGAACGGUGAAGCGCCUUCCUUUUUGGUGGGUGUGGAUGAGUGGCGAACGGGUGAGUAACACGUGAGUAACCUGCCCCCUUCUUCUGGAUAACCGCAUGAAAGUGUGGCUAAUACGGGAUAUUCUGGGUCUGUCGCAUGAUGGGUCUGGGAAAGAUAUUGUUUCGGUGGGGGAUGGGCUCGCGGCCUAUCAGCUUGUUGGUGGGGUGAUGGCCUACCAAGGCGGUGACGGGUAGCCGGCCUGAGAGGGUGGAGGGCAACAGGGGGGUGGAGCCCCGCCCGAGCCUCCGGGGGGGGGCAGCAGGGGGGAUUAGGGAACAGGGGGGGAAAGCCUGGUGCGGCGCGCCGGGGGGGGGAGGGGGGGCCUGGGGUUUGGGAACUUCUUUCGCGGGUGAAGAGGGCCUGCCUGGUUUGUGGGUGGGUGGAGGGUAGGGGGAAAAGAAGCCCCGGCUAACUACGUG